rnacentral:rRNA from 1 species
UACGUAGGGGGCUAGCGUUAUCCGGAAUUACUGGGCGUAAAGGGUGCGUGGGUGGUUUCUUAAGUCAGAGGUGAAAGGCUACGGCUCAACCGUAGUAAGCCUUUGAAACUGGGAAACUUGAGUGCAGGAGAGGAGAGUGGAAUUCCUAGUGUAGCGGUGAAAUGCGUAGAUAUUAGGAGGAACACCAGUUGCGAAGGCGGCUCUCUGGACUGUAACUGACACUGAGGCACGAAAGCGUGGGGAGCAAACAGG